rnacentral:lncRNA from 1 species
ACUCUGGAGGUGACAGAGAGCAGGUGAUGUUGGCUUUCCCUGGGGACACCCUGGAUUUUGUUCACCUUGCAGUUCAUGUGACCCGGUCCAGCUCCUUGCCCAGAGGGGAUCAACUGAGAUACAACCAUUGAUUAAAAGGGGUGGGAGUUCCCUAAACACCCCUCCCCCCAAGAUUCUCCACCCAGCCUGGCUGGUCCCCAGGGAAAUCAAAACAACCUGUUUCUAUGUGGUUCAGUGUUGAAAUCAGCAGUUUAUUGAGGAUAGUGUUAGCUUGGCCAAUGGCAUGAUGAACCCGCUGUCCCUGCCCUGGGCUGAGGGUAGUGUGGCUUUGGACUUUGUGUAACCCUCUUGAGGGUUUUUUAUUUGAAUUUACAACACUUUCUGAAACCUUAAUAGCAUGUUAGGUUUUCAGGCUUAAAGUUUGCUGACUCAAGACUGGCCCCGAGGGAGAAACUCCAGGCACCCUUGUACAGUCUGUGUGCCUGCGUGGGACCCCCUGUCCCACAUGGCCUUCAUUCAAGGACCCCAUCCCACAGACAGUUUCACUCUUGAUGUUCCAAAUGCCCUUUCACUUGGGAAUCCAGCGCCUCUCUGUAGUCUGGGUUUGGUGCUGGGUUUGACGGCUUUUGGCCCCUGGGUAUGUGGAGGAUUGUCACACAGCCAUUAUCUUUUCUUAGACUAUGCCCUCUCUGAAGACCUGAGGCCCUUCCUGCCUUUCUGACCAGUUCAAAGAAGGUUCCCCUUCACCUCAAAGAUAAGAGGCAGGAAGUGUUUGAGCCCGGCCCUUAGACAUAAUAGUCACGUGUCCACACAAAAUCUGUGAUACAUUCCUCACGCUCCAGGUCCACUCUGAACCACGGGGUUGCCCUUUCACCAGGUGCUUGUUUUCUAAAUGCAGGGGACAAGAAACAUGACUAGUAAAAUAGUAAAGCUAGUUAAGUUAGUAGCCUGUCUGAAUCCUUUCCCUUCCCCAAGAACCGCUGCUGUCGUGGGUAACUGUGGGGCGGUGCCCUGGUUUGUAUUGUGUGUUGUUAUUGCUGUUUUCUCUGGCUUUUGGGGUUUUUGUUUGUUUGUUUGUUUGUUUGUUUUUGUUUUGGGGAGGGUUUGGUUUUAGUUUUGGGUUUUUUUGUUUGUUUGUUUGGUUGGUUGGUUUUGGUUUUGGUUUUGGCUCUUUUUCCCCCUUCUCUUUCCCAGGGUUUCAUCUCCUCUCCUGGUGUAUAUGUGAAGGUUCUUUCAAAUGUGGCCAAUGAAAACCAUGCAAAAAAUAAGGAUUUUUUUAGCUCUUAAAAAGCACAGGGAAUGACAUAGGACAUUGUAGGAGUGAGACCCUCUUGUGGCUGCUGGUGGACUGGCCUCAGAGCGUGUACCAGGGACUUGGUUUCAGACUGGGCUCUGUGUGUCAGUGGACAAGAAAGCGAGCCUCUCCAUAAUGACCAUAGCAGGCCAGGACAAUCUGGCUAUGGCCAGCCCUGGGGGCUGGCCUGGUGGGGACCCCGGCAGAUGCCCAUGCUCCAGCCGGCUUCAAGGCGCUAUCUAAUUGGGAGAUCAUUAAGAUCAUUAUAAUUAAUUGGCAUCCUGAUAAAUGGCGUGAUUGCCUAAUUGGGGUGGUUGCUAGGGAACUAGACCUCACUUGGAGCCUAGAGGGGAAGAGGCAGUGGCUGGCUGCAGUUGGGCGCUGGGGUUACAGACCCUGCAGCUCAUGGGCGGGAAGCCAGAACUGUAUCACCCACAUCUGCUGGCAGCUGCUGAGUGUAGUUGUAGAUGGAAUGUGGGCUAGGGGUGUUUUCUUAGAAGGGCUGCAAUCAGGACCCUUUCUUGCAAGCCAUUGAAAGAGACGCUCUGAAAUCACUGGGAGGCAAAGGAAAAAUGCCCGACGCCUUGCACAGGGCCCCAAAUCCUAAGACAGCCUUGGCAUCGUGCACCACUGGCUCAGAGACUCAGCAUUUGCCACAGACGCCAUUCUUCCAUCUCCGCUCUGCCCUCUACCUCACUCUGUGCCUUCCUCAGAACUAAAGCUGCAGUCUCUGGCAGCCCCAGGCUGGGUGUUUUAAGACAGCCGGUCCAUCUGGCCACCUGCCCAGUGAUGACAUGGGGGCGUGUGACUCAACCGUUCUGUGCCUCUGUGUUCUCAUCCAACAAGUGCUGGGGGUAAGUCCCCACUCCUUCCCGAGUCUGUGGGCCAGAGCGAGAUCAUCAGUAAGUACCAAGUGCUUAGCAUCUGCCCCAGGUAAACCUGGACCACAGGGUGGCUGCUCUCUCACCCCUGUGGUCACAGCCCAAGAACAGAAGCAAGCCUCUUUGCAGUGACAGUCCCUAAGCCCCCAGAUGCCCUCCCAUGAGACCACUGACCAGUUACACACGCCCUCUGACUAUGGUCUGAAUGAGAAGAGAGGACCCCUUGGUCCCACAAGUGUGACAAAUAAGCAUGGUCAUUUGGGGAGCAAGGAGCCACGUGUAUGGGCAGCCAAUCGUCAGAAGGGCCUGUCAGCACCCUGGCUGAGGUGAGAACUCCAGGGACAUUACCACCCUCCCCUUCCCAUGGGGUCUUUGGGAACCAGAGGCUAUCUUAGCUGCUUCAGUGGAUAAAGCUGCAGCCUGGCUUUGAUCCAGGCCUUUCUGGGGGCUGAGUUUACCUGGCUCUCCACCAUGAAAAUCAUCAUGAAGUGUUUGUUUAAAAAAUGUAAAGUCCCACAGAGAGAGCAGGCACCCUGCAUAUAUAUGUUCACGUCAGCAAAAGGCUUGGAAAGAGGGCCCUGUCUACUAGAGGGCGGUAGGGAAUGGUACCCUAGAUGAGAACAGGGGGACAGAGGUACCAAAAUGCACCCUCGCCUUGAACAUGACAACCUUCUUGGUAUUGUGAAGGUCCUAUUAUUACACGAUCCCACAUCGGGCCAAUACCACAAGGGGUCAAGUUCCCCAUGGGUCCCAGUACCAUAAGGAUCCCAGUACUCCAUGGGUCCCAGUACAGCACAGAUCAGAUUACCUCUUGUCACUAGUAAAUACCUGACAAGAGCCAGGUGCUGCCUGAGGGCCUAGCCCAGCAAGAGAGAGCCUGGGCCACCAGAGACACAAGGCCCCCAAGAGCAAGCGGUGAAUGGGGGCCAUAGUCAAGGCAGUUUAUAACAGGCUUC